GCUAUUACUCAAGUUAUUUAAGGGUUGUUAUUCCUUAUUUCAGGCUUGAUAGAAGGGUG
rnacentral:tRNA from 1 species